CAGCCGCCGCGGGAACACGAAGGGGGCUAGCGUUGUUCGGAAUUACUGGGCGUAAAGCGCACGUAGGCGGCUUCUUAAGUCGGAUGUGAAAUCCCUGAGCUUAACUUAGGAAUUGCAUUCGAUACUGGGAAGCUAGAGUAUGGGAGAGGAUGGUAGAAUUCCAGGUGUAGCGGUGAAAUGCGUAGAGAUCUGGAGGAAUACCGAUGGCGAAGGCAGCCAUCUGGCCUAAUACUGACGCUGAGGUACGAAAGCAUGGGGAGCAAACAGGAUUAGAUACCCCCGUAGUCCCUGUCUCUUAUAC
rnacentral:rRNA from 1 species